rnacentral:rRNA from 1 species
UACGGGGGGAGCAAGCGUUGUUCGGAUUUACUGGGCGUAAAGGGCGCGUAGGCGGCCACCGCAAGUCAAUUGUGAAAUCUCCGGGCUUAACUCGGAAAGGUCAACUGAUACUGCGGGGCUAGAGUGCGGAAGGGGCAACUGGAAUUCUCGGUGGUAGCGGUGAAAUGCGUAGAUAUCUGGAGGAACACCGGUGGCGAAGGCGGCAUCCUGGACCGACAUUGACGCUGAGGCGCGAAAGCCAGGGGAGCAAAGCGGG